rnacentral:lncRNA from 1 species
AAAAAAAAACACUCUGAUUCUAAGCAAUGUAUCAAACAUUUGAUUUUUUUUCCUAACUAAAGCACAUAAAGCAGGGUUCAAAUAGCUAUCGAGCUUGAUCUCUGAAUGUAUUAAGCAAUUCAUUGAAGAAGCUUCAGCCUGCAUAUUUGUGGGUAGAACUGAAUAUUUCAUAACUCUCACAUAUAAAAAAAGCAGGCUGUUUGGGAGAAAGUAAGUUGGCAACCUCAUUUGAAUGCAUUGAGACAAGUUCUGACAUGGCUGGUCUAUCUGUUGCAUUCUCUCCAACAGAGAGAAGGACCAUGUUCAUGUAUCUCUUCAGUAUUAAUUGGAUAAGAUGCUUCAUUUUCCAAUAUAGGACCCUUCAGUUCCCAGGCUCUACCAUCACUCCACAGAUUCCAUACCUGAAGCAAAACAGAUCAUUCAAAUGCUGAAUGAAUAAGCCAGCUCUCGCACUGAUUCUACUGAUGUAGGAAGCUCUUUACUUUUCCACUUCAAUAAUCAAGCUUUUUGUUCUAUUAGGAUUUUUACUAGAUUAAAGAACAAAAAAGAAAGAAGAGAAAAAAGUGAGAAAUCUUGACACUUGCAUGGCCAAGGCUAAGUGCAUCGGUAUCAUAGAAGUGGGUAUUCUUCUUUUUACUCAGUGUUUCCAAUAGCAAUACUCCCAAGCUAAAAACAUCAUCUCAUUUUUUGACUCAUCUUGUCUUUGUCCCAACUUACUUAAAAGUAGAGAUGGCCAAUGGGCUAGAUGACACGUGGCAUGACAGGUGUUUGUACAGCACGUUAUGAUAUGAGCACGUUUCAGUAGAGCACGCGGCACGGCACGCAUGUGGGUCGGGCCGGGCUUAGAAUUUUAGGCACGCGGGCUUUAAAAGCAUAACACGAUUAAAAAUGGGCUAAGCACGACACGAUAAAAAAGUCCGUAAUAAGCACGUUUUAUUUUUUAAUAAAAGUAAACUUAAAAUUUUAUGAUUUUAUAAAUAACUUGAAAUUGAAUUUUUAAAUUCAUUUAAUUCUUAGUUUCAAAAAAAUACUAUAAUUGAUUUAUAUUUAUAAUUUACUAAAUAAAUAAUUGAUAUCAUGAUUUUAAUGAAUAAAAUUAUAAAUAUCAUGAUUUUAUAAAUAUGCAUUAAUAUUAUUAUGAACUAUGAUUUAUGACUCUAUAUAAGUCUAAGUUAACAAUUAAGUUAACCCUUAAUAAAUUUUUAUUAUUAUUAUUGUUGUUAAGUAUUAAAAAAAUUCUAAUACUAUAAGUUCAAACUUAGUAAUUAAUAUUACAUUAAUAACUAUAAUCUUAUCAUAAUCUUAUCAUACAUGUUCUUGACAAACUCAGUACAUUCUCUAAUUAUACUGCAUAUAUAUUUAAAAAAAUUUCUUAUUAUUAAUUAAUGAAUUAAUAACUAUCAAUUUAUCAAUAUAUUAAUAUUUUUUAAAUUAAUAGACUUUUGGAACUUUACUGUAGAUCUCCGAAAUUUUACUGUAGAUGUCCAAAACACGUACUUUUUGUGUUAUAAAUUUAAACAAUCAAGGAGAAUUUAAUUAGUUAAUUAAUCAAGUUUCUUCUUUAUUUAAAAUUUUUGAAACUAGUAUUAAUUUUUAUAAGGAAAAUUAUCCACCGUCCACCCGUUUUUUUAACUUUUUCAAAAAUCUAUAAUUUUUUUUUUGCUGGAAUCCACCUGAAGUUACAUUUUUUUCACUUUUCGACUUCUAUUUGGAGACCGUUAAGAAAACUAACUGAAUAUUAUAUAAAUAAUUUUUUUACCCUUAAAUGUAAAAGAUGAAUAAUUUUUUUUCAUUUUUCCACUUCUAUUUGGAGACCGUUAAGAAAACUAACGGAAUAUUAUAUAAAUGACUUUUUUACCCUUAAAUGUAAAAGAUUAAUUAUUCAUCGACCACUUAUUUUUUUCGUAUUUUUUUAAAAAAUACACAAUUCUUAAUUUUUUUUCUAAACUCCACUUGAAAUUAUAUUUUUUUCACCUUUCCACCACUGUGUCGUUGUAAAAUAACAAUUUUACCCUUAUGAUGUCAACAAAAUUCUAACAGUGUUAUAACAAGAGUAGACCAAUGAAAAAAAUGUUAACUUCAGAUGGAACGCUGCAAAAAAAAAAUUAUGCAUUUUUGAAAAACAAUAAAAAAAUAGGUGAAAAAAAUUAUAUAUUAAAAAAAACAGUAAAAAAAAGGUAAACAGUGAAUUUGUUUUUUAUAAUUAUUUUUUCUAUUUUUCUAAAGGGAUGGGUGGAAAUUAUCACCACCCAAACAAUAAAACUGGGAGGGCUGGGAUAAAUGAUGAGUGCGGAGGGCCAUAAUAGAUAAACUAACAUAAUUUUUAGUAAAGCUAUGAUAUAAGAAUUUAGAAAUAAGAGGGUAAAUUAUUUUUUUUCCUCUUUCUUUAAGAAAAGGUGCAUAGAAAUUAAUAUGCUCGCUGCCACACUACUAUCCGCAGGGGUAACGGUCGGUAUUGAACACUACAUAAAACUGUCUCUUCCACCAGAACCUCAUAUUAAGAUAAAAGAUUUUGGUCGUUCAAGUUAUGUUUAUUAAGCAGGUGAAACAAUAUUUACUGAAUCCUCGCAAGGCCCACCCCCAGCUGUUCUAUAAAUUACUAUUUUUCAAUGUUAGUCUUUACAUAUUAUCAUUUAAUUUGUAAUGGAGCUCCCUAAACAGGAGAUUAAUUAAUUUUCAUUGCCAUGAUAGUGUGGUAUAAUUGGACAAGCUCAGGUGAUAAAUGUAGAAACCAGAGUAAAACAAAGUACACUAUAAGAAAUUAACAAAGAUAACACUCUUUUCUUAAUAAAGCGACUUCGAUUCCACACUGCAGCCUAUUAAGUCUACAUAAUUACACUCACUACUCAUCACCUAAAGGCAAAUUAAAGACACGCGACGACGUGAUUUAUUAUACUCUAAAGCUAGUCACUCUUUAACAGUGAACUUAAUUUUAUUACUAACUUGCAUGCAUAUAUCAUGCACUCCCACCCACCCCCCCGCCCCACCCCGGGGGCACCACCAGAGCACACACGCUAGCCAUUAUUAUUAGAAACACGUAUCUAGAAGUAAGGUGAACUGAAGUCACAGCCCUGCCUUGGAGAAAUGUUGCACUUGCGAGGAAUUUGACUGGCCGACUCAUAAGCUUGUCGCAACAUCCCGCCCUGUAUCUGUCCUUGCUGCAGCUGGCUUCUCAGCGCUUGCUCUAGCCCCGGGCAGCGGCAUCUGUUGUCCAGCUGCUGCAGUUGUUGGCAGCAUUGUCGAAGAUACUGCUGUUGUUGAUUGUCGCCAAGGCUGCUGCCCCACCGGCCGUCCUCCCCUUCCUGCUGCCGGUCGCGGACCUGCUGCCUCAAGUGCAUCUGGCACUGGCGGAGUUGUUGCUGCUGCUGUAUCUGCUGCUCGCAGCUCUGCUGGGAGGGGUUUUCUUCGUCGAUGAAAAUGGUGGUGCGGUAGAUCGAGGCGUUGGCAACGAGGAGGAAGAGAGCGAAAAUGGAUAGAAGGAGAGUGAUCUUAUUUGCCAUUGCUGCUUGUUAGGGUUUUCUAGGUCGAUGGUGAGAGUUCGGGGUGGUGGUGAAGGGAUCCUUAUAGCAAAAUGAAGGUGUAUGCGUGGCGGAUACGUGUUAGAUGGAGUGGUGAUCAGGGUAGGUGUUUGAUGGUUGCAACUCAUUGUCACACGUAGAUGUUUCAUGCAAUUUGCUGGCAAUUGAGGUUUUUGUUUGUAUAUGCAUGCAAAAUUGAACUGCCUGCAUUGGGAUUUUAAAAUUUUGGUAACUGCAGGAAAUUGCUUGGGAACUAUUAUAUAGGUUUGUUCUUUAUGCAAUUGAAUCAAAAUCUUCAAAUAGAUACAAUACUGUAUGGGGUGAGGUUAUUUGAACCCAUUAAACUACUCAUUAAAUUUUUUUUUAAAAAUAAAUUUUUAUGAUUAAAAUACCCUAAAUUAAAUUAUAGUUAUGAAUAUUAAAUAUAUUAAAAAGAAAAAAAAUAAAAUUUUUACUCUUUAAACUUAUCUUUAUAUUUAAUAUAGUUUUAUUAAACCCCUAGUCAUAUUUUCAUUAAACCCUAAUCAAUUAAGAUGUGUGAUUCUUCGGUAAGCCAUAUAUUUUUGUCGAUCAUGUUUGCUCUUUUGCUGUAAUUGGAAUUGCAACGACAUCUGAAGAGCCAAAAGCAGACAUCCCAGAAGCAAUAAAUUAUAUAUAUGCUCCAAUUUGUGUCACCAUGCCUACUGCAAGAGGAGAAACUUAUUAUUUUAUCUUUCAUCAAUAGCGAGUUCAAACCUGGGAAGAAAUUAAUAAAAAGAACAAUAAAUCCAAUAUUAUCUGCAUAAAUGACUCAUGCCAUGUCAUUCAUAACAUAAUCCUCUUUGAUUAUACAUUAACAUGUACAAGCAUUAAUCAAAUAGCCCAAAAUUAAUCCACAUGAUAGCAAGUAAUAAUUUUAGAAGUAUAACAUCUAACAGAACUCAUUUUAUCAUUUCAGUUUUUUAGUCCAAAAUAAUUUCAUAAACUGAUUUGGAACAUGCCAAAGAGCAAAAUGCGUUGGAUGCAUAUGCAACCUACCUUGAAGCAAAGGCGCAGUAGAAACUUAGCUGUCAUACCCUUAAGCAUGAUGGAUGCUGAAAUAACAGGACCAAUAGAAGGAGGAACAGGAAAAUCUUUGUUUGCAUGAAGAAUUUGCCCCUUCCACGAUGUCUUCAACUUGCUUUUGUUGCAAUUGCUUUCACUGAUAGUGCUUUGCUUUGUUUAUAGUUGAGUAAUAAUAUUACUUUGCUUUGUUGGUAAAAUUGUGCAGAAAAAAAUAGUGUUGAAUUUUCAAUGAAAUGCCACUAUUAUUGUAAAUGAAUUUAAUGAGUUUAAUGAGUAAAAUCACUAUUGUUAUAAAAAUUGGGUUUAGUAAAAGUAUAUUAGGUAUUUAAGUGGGUUUAUUGAGUAAAAUUUAAAAUUUCAAAAUUUAAGGGUGGAUUUAUUUAGUAAAUAGGUUUAUUAAGUAAUUUGAUGGGAUUAAAUAGCCCCACCCUACUGUAUAUUGUCAAGAGUGAAAUAUGAGAGUAUUAGCAAUUCAUUCAUAAGUAUAAAUUUCCAAUGUAUUUAAUUUGUUUUUAUUUAACUCUUUUAGAUUUCUUUUCCAAGCAAAAAAGAGUCUAGAUUUGAUUUAUUCAUGUAAUAUGAUUUUAGCUAAUUUCUAUACACAAAUUUAUAUUUUUCCUUAAUAAUACGGAUUAUGUGAAAAUUUUAUUAAAUGCAAAACAAAAUGAUGUCCAGUCAGGAGACGUAAUGAGACUUUAUCAUUCAAAACAUAAUUUUUUCUGUUAUUUAAAAGUGCUAGGAAGAAAAAAAUUUAUAAUUAUAUGCUUUGCAAAAACUUAAAAACUAAAUGUAGAAAAAAUUAAUAGAAACUAUUUGGGGGAAAAACAGAAAAGGUAGCAGAAUGCCAGGUGUCCAUGAACGGAAUAACUCUAGUAUAAUAUGAGGUAUUUAGCAUAAUUCGAAGUACCCUGCAUAACUCCAGCAUAAUUCGAGGUACCCCGCAUAACUCGAAAGUAAUUCGAGGUACCCCGCAUAACUCUAGUAUAAUUUGAGGUACCCCGCAUAACUUCAGCAUAAUUCGAGGUACCCCGCAUAACUCGAGAGUAACUCGGGGCACCCCACAUAGCUCAAGGUACCCCGUAUAACUUGAGGUACCCAACAGAUCAGAUUCAGGAAAAUCCUCUGAAAAAGUCCGCCAUGAGAAAUGUUUCUAUUGCUUGAAGGAUAAUAUUUGAUUUUGUCAGAAUUAAAUAUCAUAACAUCGUAUUGAAAAAUGGCGACAGCUGCCUGCCACCGCUAUCAAAAGUGUAGGACACUGUCAAAAGGACAAUGGUCCUCAGCCGCCUUACCAAACAACCACUGUUGAGGUACCCUGGACCAGUCACCAACGUGCGCCACGUACCUAAAAGAAUAAGAUACGCCUCUUGGUGUAUCCAACAUCAAUGACCUACCACUCGCCAUUCACUAUGGAGAUUCGGACUUCCCGAAGCAUUCACCAUGCCUCAAAUACCCCAGUACUCGGGUACCACUGAUCCCUCGGAGCAUGCUGAGCUAUAUUGUGACCAAAUGCUUAUCAAGGGUGUUGAUGAGAACGCCAUGUGUAGGAUGUUUACACGCACACUCACGAGUCCCGCGAAGUCGUGGUUUUAGUCAUUAAAGGCUGGUAACAUAUCUUCCCCACACUAGUUGUUAUCCAAAUUUACUAAAGAGUUUUCCUAUACUUCCACUCAAGAUAGGGCAGCCUCCAAACUUGAUUUUAUCAAGCAAGGGGAAGUUGAACCUUUGGAGGAGUAUGUGAGUCGUUUACACCAAGAGGUGUUGCAAACCGGAGCAUUUGGAAACCAACACACAGUGAUCAAUUUUGAGAAAAAUCUACAAUUGGGCAAGUUAUAGCGUUCUUUUCAAAAGAAGGGCCCACUUUUAUAUUGGGAAGCCUGUUCCCAGGCGUUGCAGCAGGUGGAGAUGAAUGAAAAAUGCCAUUUGAAGCACCAAGAAGAUAAGGCCAAGGUCACAAAGAACAAGGAUAAGCCCAAGAGGACAGAAGCCCCAAUAUCGAGGGUACCCCGAGCACGGAGCCCUCCACGGGUUGCCCUGUGGGGACGAGGGUAUAAUGCUUUGGGUAUCUCCCAAGUACCCCAACCUCCAAGAUCGCCACCACCAGAGCAGCGAGAGCCACUACCGAGACCUCGGUACGAAUCUUACCAUAUGCUAAAUCGUUCCCUAGAGCAGAUCUUCUACCAUAUUUUGAAUAGUGGCCUCCUCCGUCCGCCCAAGCCAAUGAAGAAGUACCCCAACAUGAAUCGUAGCCUAAAGUAUUUUGAGUUUCACGAGGACUGACACGACUCAAAAGUGUAUUACUCUUAAGUAUAAGAGUGUCUAGUUAUAAUAUAACCCGGUGAGACCGGGGUCGAACCACAAGGAGUUUUAAAUCUAGUAAAACUAAGAAAAUUAAUUGUGGGGAAAAGAAAUUAUUUGAAAUCAAUUUAAAAAUAAGCUAAGGUUUAGGAUCCACUCUCUGUAUUCAAACUAUAAUUUUAAUACUCUCUUAUUUAUAUUUUGCCUCACUUUUACCAAUUAAUUAUUAUAUCAUUUAAUUCUAUGUAUGUGGAAAAAAUAUAGAAUAAAGUACCUAAUGUGCUACACUAUAUUAAUGUGUCGACAUUAUGUCAAAAUACCAUAAAAUCCAGUGAGAUUUAUAAAUUAACAUGAUAUAAAAAUAAUUAGAAAGAAUUAAAAAACUCAUUUGAGAAAAUAAUAAUAAUUAAUAGUUUGAAACAUUGAGCUUCACCCUUCACCUCAACUUAAUAAAAUUAGCUACUCAUAUUAAAAAAAAAACACAACACUCUUUUUAUUUGAUAAACUUUUUGAAAUAUAUUACAAAGAAAAUUGAUACAAACGGAAACAAGAAAAGAAAAGAAAAGAAACAAAGAAAGAAAGAAAUUCUUCAGCUGCACUCUAUUCUCUCUCGGCUAAGAAAAGAAAAGAAAAGAAACAACCUUUUACUCUUUUGUCUUUUUGUUCUUUUUUUAUUUUUUAUUUUUUAUUUUUUAUUUUUUAUUUUUUAAUAUUAUUUUUUAUUUUUUAUUUUUUAAUAUUAUUUUUUAUUAUUAGAUCUCCUCAAUUGUGUUCCAGUAGUCCUUCUUUGUUCCCGCUUUCAAUUCCAAUUCCAUCUUUAUUCCUGAAAAAUAUUUAUAAGAUAAAAAUUAACAAAUUAUGAAUUAAUUUAACAUAAAAUAUAUUUGGAGAGUAUUAAAAUAAUUUAGAAAUAAUGAACGCAUUAAUCGACACAAUAAGUGAAAAACUAAUAAUUUUAUCUUUAUUAAAUGUACACUUUUUAGUGUCAAUCAAGGACUUCGGUCACAACAAAGCCGAGUGUUUUAGCUUGCGUGAGGAGAUUGAAUUUUUUAUUUUUAGCGGGUACCUCAAAGAAUUUGUUGCUGGCAUGAGAGAGGCUCGGAAAUCCAUGGCGUAAGAUAAAGGCAAGCGGGUAGCUGAUAGCAGCCCUGAAUGAGAGGCGCCCCCGUGACAUAAGAAAAACGUGUAUGUCCGGAUGAUCACAGGCGGACCGACUCUAGCUGGCCAGUCCAAGAGGGCCAUCAAAAGCUAUGGUACAUCGUUGUCGUUAACAACCAAUAUUGGCGAAGAAGUCAACUUUACCGAAUGGGGCAUGCCUCAAGUACCCCACCAUCCCUUGCCGAUCAUUUUCAUAUUAAAAAAUGCUGAAGGUAUCUCGUACCCCCAUGACGAUGCUUUAGUAAUUACGUUGAAGGUUACUACUGGUAAAGUGGCAAGAACUCUUGUAGAUACCGGCAGCUCCAUCGAUAUCAUUUUCAAAAGUGCUUUGGACCAACUAUUGAUUGAGUCGCCAAAUAUCACCCCAUAUGCUACGCCUCUUAUUGGGUUCGCCGGGGAUAUGGUCAUCCCAAAAGGCAUCAUCACAUUACCCGUUACCCUUAGUAAGGUACCUCACCGUGUUGUUCAUAUGAUUGAUUUUCUUAUUGUGGAUCACCCGGGUGCCUAUAAUAUUAUAUUGGGUAGGCCGUUCUUAGUAGAAACUAAAGAGGUGGUAUCCAUGCACUACCUCGCCAUGAAAGUCUCAGCCGCCCAAGAAGUUAUCACCAUUAAAGGGGACCAGUAGUCAGCUCGUGAUUGUUAUUCAGUGGCCUCCAAAAUCACUUAGCAAAUAGCUUCUGAUUUGCCAUUGAAGGGGUACCCCAACGGCAGUAAGCCCACGCUUUAUCCCAUAAAGCGAGUACAUGCUAAACAACAGAGAACAAUACUAAAAAAAUCUUCUCAAGUAGCCGAUCCACCAAAGCAGUUGGGAACCUCGCCAAUGAGUGUAGAAACAGUUGCUUCAGAUGAGUCAGGGGUACCGCACAAGGACCAGAUUAAACCCAGAUGUGAAUUUGAGGCACCGUUGGAACCCUGUAUACCGAAAGAAAACGAGGUACCCUGGUUGAAGACCUGGUUUCAGUCUCGAUUUACGUAGCCGAUCCAGUAAAGACCGUCAAAAUAGGCUCCCAUCUUUCGGAGGAACAAUAAAGAAAAGUCAUACUACUAGUAAAAUGAUAACACUCUACCUUCUUCUACUUAUUUUGUUUGUUUUCUUUAAUGCUUGUGUGUUUGAAAUAUAUGCUCGACCAUGUGGGGUACCCAGAGUACCCCAAACUGGUCAGUUUCCUAAGUCUUUAAUGACAAUAACAAGUGAGCCCGGGAUCCCCCAUAUUCUCCUUAGGAUAACAAAAUAAUGUUAUAUAAUGAUCCAUACCGCCAUUCUCUAUGAACAUUUUCUUUACAAAGUUUGAUAAUGUGUGCUCUUUUAUUUGCCUCUCGAUUUUUUGAUAUGGAUGAGUAGCUUGAAAUGCUAUAAGAAUAUGUUCACCAUUAAAUUAACUCUAUAUAUGUCGUUGAGUAUUGUUUAUUAUGACGCAAGAUGGUAUCAAGAGAUCACCUUAUUCCAGGGUACCCAAAGUACCUAACCUAUCCCCGUUCAUGAUAAUCUAUUCAACAUCAGACUCAACAAAAGGGCACGCUAGUAGCCGCAUCAUUAUUUGUUCACCAUAUUUAAUUUUGAGUGAAUGGUGGAUCAUGAGGUUUCGAUCAUCUCGCAUAAGGGUAAGCGAGCGGCUAUCUUUAUCUUAAUCUAUAUUGUCUAUUUGAUUCCAUGCGAAUAGUGGAUCAUGAGGUUUUCGACAAUCUCGCAUAAGGGUAGGCGAGCAGCUACCUUUAUCUCAAUUUAUGUUGUCUAAUUGAUUCCACGCGAACGGCGGAUCAUGAGAUUUUCGACCAUCUUGCAUAAGGGUAGGCGAGCAGCCACAUUUAUUAUUAUUUGUCUUGCAUAUUUGGUUUAGAGUGAAUGGUGGAUCAUGAGGUUUUCCAUCAUCUCUCAAAAGGAAUCGCCACAAGUUUUGUGAAGAUUUACGGCAAGCAUUUCUAUAAAAAUCGCCAUACGCUGAUUAAGGGUACCCGAGGUACCCCACGCUAGAAAAUCACUCUUUAAAUACACCCAGAGGAACCCUAAGAAAGCUUGAGAUAAAGAACAAGCAUAUCUGGAGGAAUCGCCAUAUGUUUGAUGAAAUUGAGUUGUUCCGCCAUGAAUUAACAGCACCAAGCAUGUCUAAAUAAAUCGCGAUACACUGAUGAGACAAGAUUAAGGGUACCCAUAGUACUCGGUGUACCCUAUGACAGAAAACCAUUUCUCGUAUACACCAAGAGGAACCCUAAGAAAGCUUGAGAUAAGCAACAAGCAUAUUUGGAGAAAUUGUCAUAUGUUUGAUGAAAUUGGGUUGUUCCGCCAUGAAGUAACAGAUAGUUCAGUGAAUAUAUAAGCUUAAGGGUACCUGAGGUACCCCAUGCGCCUCGUCAGUAAUGCCGAACAAGGUUACACAGCAGGAUGGUUAUCUUCAGCUUCAUCCUUUAGGAUACGGCGAUCAAUAAAAGUGCUAGAAAUAGCAAAAACACAAGCGUCGGUAUCAGGGGUACCUUAUGGUGACUUCAUCUGAGGUACCCCAGCUGAUCUCUACGAGCUUUCAAACCAAGAUGUGUGGGGAGCCCUGCUAUUCUCAAUUGCCUUCAAGAUAGUCGACUUAUCUACCAACUUCUCCACUAUUGGCACUACCAGCCCUAGAUCAGCACUCUAUUCCUCAGUCAUGAUGCGCUCAAAAGCAUUGUCAACUACGUUCUUCUGUCGAGGUACCAAGUCCUCAAGCUUAGCUUAAAGCUCCUCAGGGUCUUUCACCUUAUGGGUUUUAUCCUCUUAAACUUCAUCAAAGUGUUCAUUCAAAAUCUUAUUCACUCUAGAGAGCUUCCCUUCAUGGGGUGGGAGCCCUUUUUUUUUGUGUACCUGGGGUACCCCUUAAGCUACCAGGAAAGGAGCCUUGUGAUUUUGUUUUUGUCCCUGGAGCAUGUGGAGGAAAUGUACCCUUAAAUAAAGUGAAUCCUGGGGUAACCGAUGAACCACUUCUCAAAUGGCCAAAGAAGGCAUCGAAGUCCUCACCACAACGAUCUAUACAUGGCAAUCGCUAAAAAACAAACUAUGGUUGAUGGUGGGGUACCCUAACAAUACAUUCUACCCAUAUUUGGUGUUCGUCCCCAGAAAUAAAUGAAACAAUUUGAUCAAUCAGCUCCGUCCUUUCCAACAUGUCCAAAAUGGUAGCCAUUUCUGAACAGAGCUCAUCUUCCUUUUUUGGGUUCUCAGGGUACCCCUAGAGCGACUAUUUUUUAACUUAGACCAUCCGCGCCAGCACUUUUACUAAGUAAGAAAGGAUGUAAUGUCUGAACUUUUAGGUGAUCCAGUUCACAUCUCAAUAUGUGAGGAGGCCAGAUACACCUCAUAGAAGGAGUGGUACCCGGGCCAUCCAAGGAGUUGCCAUUAGUUUGGUUAAACAGAGAAAAGAUUUCUAGCUCGGAACUACAUGAAGUUUAGUCAGUGAAAGAAACUAAGCAAGGUACCCUCAGUCUAGCUGCCCACCAAGCUAAAUUCCGCAUCGCCACAUGUCGCUCCUACGUCAUAUACAAAGUUUCUUUUGCCUUCAAUACUUCUCGCCAAAAGAAACUAGGGGUGAUGUUGUUUGGGGGAAAUACAGAAAAGGUAGCAGAAUGCCACGUGUCGAUGAACGGAAUAACUCCAGUAUAAUCCGAGGUAUCCGGCAUAAUUCGAGGUACCCCACAUAAUUCAAGAUUAACUAGAGGUACCCCACAUAACUCUAGUAUAAUUCGAGGUACCCCGCAUAACUCGAGAGUAACUUGAGGUACCCCACAUAACUCUAGUAUAAUUUGAGGUACCCCGCAUAAUUCAAGAUACACUGCAUAACUCGAGAAUAAUUCGAGGUACUCCACAUAACUCUAGUAUAAUUCGAGGUACCCCGCAUAACUCGAGAGUAAUUCGAGGUAAGCCGCAUAACUCGAGAGUAAUUCGAGGUACCCCACUUAACUCCAGUAUAAUUCGAGAUACCUUGCAUAAUUCCAAGUUCCCUGCAUAAUUUGAGGUACCCCGCAUAACUCUAGCAUAAUUCAAGGUACCCCACAUAACUCGAGAGUAACUCGGGGUACCCCACAUAGUUCGAGAUAUCCCGUAUAACUUGAGGUACCUAACAGAUCAUAUUCAGGAAAAUCCUCUGAAAAAGUCCGCCAUGAGAAAUGUCUCCAUUACUUAAAGGAUAAUAUUUGAUUUUGUCAGAAUUAAAUAUCAUAACAUCGUACUGAAAAAUGGCGACAGCUGCCUGCCACGCCUGUCAAAAGUGUAGGACACUGUACAAAGGACAAUGGUUCUCAGCCGCCUUACUAGACAGACACUGCUAAGGUACCCUAGAUCACUCACCAGUGCGCGCCACGUACCUAAAAGAUUAAGAUACGCCGCGAACGCCUUCUUGAUUCCCAAGCAUGCACAUAACUGCCCAAAAAUCAUAAAAAUGGUAAAAAGACGCAAAAGGGCUAAAAAGGGGACAACCAAUAGCCAUAAAAAUACACCACGUGGCAGCUGAUGUACUCUAUAUAUAAAGGUGUCCAAGUUUUAUUUUCCAUCAUCAUUAUUCAUUUACUCAUGAACACUCACACUCCACUAAAUAAGCUUUCUUCAACCUUAAACCUCGAUUUACAGAGAGCUGAUAAGCUCUCUUUAUCAUAAAAAAACUCGGGUUGCUAACUUGAGCGUCGAAGUGUGAACGCCGAGGUACCCCGGCUUCACCUCUAACCUCUAUUUCACUGUUUUGCAGGCGUGAAUCUCGUUUCGAAGGCCAUUUUUCUUGGUUCAAACUUUUCACCAUUGUUACCACUUCCUCAUCCCUUCUCACCUCCUCCGAAUUCAAAGAUACCGCACACAACAAACUUGUGAGGUACCUCGUUUCCCCUAAAAAUACAAAUUCAUUGUUUUAGAUAGGUUUGUCUUUUUCUACCCCAAAAUUUGUCUAAAACAGAAACUAUAGGGAAGAAACUAUUAGCAUCCUUAGACAAAAUAGACGUGAUAGAUGAUGUUGUUGUGAAUAUGGGAUGGGUAAUUCUAAAUACCAAAUUCCCUAUGAAAAAGUAAAUAAUAUCACCUAAGGGUUUAUAUAAAGAAAUGGUCAUUUAAUUUGUUACGAAAGCAUGUGUGUUACCCAUACACACUAAUUGGGCCGGCCAAUUAUUUGGACCUUCCAUAUUUGGGAAAUUUACGAAAAUAACCAUAAAAUUUUUAUAAUUUUCACAAUUAACUCUCUCAAUUUUUUUCUAUCAACAUUAGCCAAACACACGCUUUUCUCCCCAAAUUACCCUUCUUUACAAACCAAAACAAAUUUGGUGCGAUAAACACCUGUCGCACGAAACUUAGUGCGACAUGCACCUGUCGCACCAAGGCUUCGUGCGACAGGUUGCCUUCCAAGGCACCAACAACAUUCUUAUUCUUCUUAGUCCUUUAAUUUCUCUUUCAGUCGUAGUUACUCUUCCAAAACUGUACAAAGUAAUCUGCAUUUCCAUUCUUUAAAGCUUUGAUCUUUCACUUUGUUUCUUUAAGUAGUUGCUUUCUGCAGCU